GCCCGGCUAGCUCAAUCGGUAGAGCGUAAGACUCUUACUGGGUCUUCGACUCUGAUUAGUAUCAUCUUAAGGCUGUGGGUUCGACCCCCACGUCGGGCU